ACGUAGGGUGCGAGCGUUAAUCGGAAUUACUGGGCGUAAAGCGUGCGCAGGCGGGCUUUUAAGCCAGACGUGAAAUCCCCGGGCUCAACCUGGGAAUGGCGUUUGGGACUGGAAGUCUGGAGUGCGGCAGAGGGGACUGGAAUUCCUGGUGUAGCAGUGAAAUGCGUAGAGAUCAGGAGGAACACCGAUGGCGAAGGCAGGUCCCUGGGUUGACACUGACGCUCAUGCACGAAAGCGUGGGGAGCAAACA
rnacentral:rRNA from 1 species